rnacentral:rRNA from 1 species
UACAGGGGGUGCAAACGUUGCUCGGAAUCAUUGGGCGUAAAGCGCACGUAGGCGGUCUGUUAUGUCGGAUGUGAAAGCCCUUGGCUCAAUUGAGGAAGUGCAUCCGAAACUGGCAGGCUAGAGUACUAAAGAGGAUCGCGGAAUUCCCGGUGUAGAGGUGAAAUUCGUAGAUAUCGGGAGAAACACCGGUGGCGAAGGCGGCGAUCUGGGUAGAUACUGACGCUGAGGUGCGAAAGCCAGGGGAGCAAACGGG